rnacentral:rRNA from 1 species
AUUGAACGCUGGCGGCAGGCCUAACACAUGCAAGUCGAGCGGAGCGGCGGACGGGUGAUUAAUGCCUAGGAAUCUGCCUGGUAGUGGGGGAUAACGUACGGAAACGGUCGCUAAUACCGCAUACUAUCAGAUGAGCCUAGGUCGGUGUAGCUAGUUGGUGGGGUACAGGCCUACCAAGGCGACGAUCCGUAACUUGUCUGAGAGGAUGAUCAGUCCCAAUGGACCUGAGACACGGUCCAGACUCCUACGGGAUGCAGCAGUGGGGGAUAUUGGACAAUGGGCGAAAGCCUGAUCCAGCCAUGCCGCGUGUGUGAAGAAGGUCUUCGGAUUGUAAAGCACUUUAAGUUGGGAGGCGUGAAAAAAAGAAUAAGCACCGGCUAACUUCGUGCCAGCCGAAGCGGUAAUAG